AAUGAACGUUGGCGGCGUGGAUUAGGCAUGCAAGUCGAGCGUGUACCCCGCGAGGGGGAAAGCGGCGUAAGGGAGAGUAAUACGUAGAUACGUGCCUCCGGGUCUGGGAUAGCCACGGGAAACUGUGGGUAUUACCGGAUAAUGUCUGAGGACCAAAGGUGUGAUUCCACCUGGAGAUCGGUCUGCGUCCUAUCAUGCUUGUUGGUGAGGUAACGGCUCACCAAGGCUACGACGGGUACGGGGAGUGAGAGCUUGCCCCCGCUCACUGGGACUGAGACACUGCCCAGACACCUACGGGUGGCUGCAGUCGAGGAUCUUCGGCAAUGGGCGCAAGCCUGACCGAGCGACGCCGCGUGCGGGAUGAAGGCCUUCGGGUUGUAAACCGCUGUCAGUGGGGAGGAAGGCUCCGUGAAGAACGGGGUUUGACCUAUCCGCAGAGGAAGUGUGGGCUAAGUUCGUGCCAGCCGCCGCCGUAA
rnacentral:rRNA from 1 species